rnacentral:tRNA from 1 species
GGGGCUGUAGCUCAGUGGUAGAGCACUUGCCUAACACGUGUGAGGUACUGGGUUCAAUCCUCAGCACCA